rnacentral:rRNA from 1 species
ACCAAAUAUUAUUUUGUACUGCAAGGGUAAGACCCCAGAAAGACUAUCUGGUUGAUAGGUCGAAGGUGUAAGUGCAGCAAUGUAUUUAGCUUAUCGAUACUAAUAGGUCGAGGACUUGACCAA